AAGUGGAGCAAUCCAUGAGUAAAGUGGCGACCGGGUGAGUAACACGUGACUACCUACCCUUGAGUGGGGGAUAACCUCGGGAAACCGAGGCUAAUACCGCAUAAUAUCGAGAGAUCAAAGGAGCAAUCCGCUUUUGGAGGGGGUCGCGGCUAAUUAGCUAGUUGGUAGGGUAAUGGCCUACCAAGGCGAAGAUCGGUAUCCGGCCUGAGAGGGCGCACGGACACACUGGAACUGAAACACGGUCCAGACUCCUACGGGAGGCAGCAGUGGGGAAUUUUGCGCAAUGGGGAAACCCUGACGCAGCAACGCCGCGUGGAGGAUGAAGCCCCUUGGG
rnacentral:rRNA from 1 species